AACGAACGCUGGCGGCAUGCCUAACACAUGCAAGUCGAACGAGAACUUCGGGUCUAGCGGCGCACGGGUGCGUAAGGCCUGGGAAGUUGCCCUUAGGUUCGGAAUAACUCCCCGAGAGGGGUGUUAAUAACGGUUAGUCUAUUCGGACCAAAGAGUUAUCGCCUUUGGAUGGGGCUGCGUUGGAUUAGCUAGUUGGUAGGGUACACGCGUACUAAGGCGACGCUCCAUGGCUGGUGUGAGAGGAUGAUCUGCUACACUGGGACUGCGACACGGCCCAGACUCGUACGGGAGGCAGCAGUGGGGAAUAUUGGACAAUGGGCGAAAGCCUGAUCCAGCAAUGCCGCGUGAGUGAUGAAGGCCUUAGGGUUGUAAAUCUCUUUUACCCGGGAUGAUAAUGACAGUACCGGGAGAAUAAGCUCCGGCUAACUCCGUG
rnacentral:rRNA from 1 species